AGAGCCGUUUGAGCGUCCUUGCCAGCGCCAGACAACUUCACUAUCCCUGCCCUAGCAGGGGGCGAUAAUCACAUCAAGCUUCCCUGACAAGAGGCAUUGAAUUCAGCUCCGGUCCCCUUAAGAGUCUGGCAUCCAGCAGUCUCUCUUGAACAUGCUGCUGACGUUACAAUGGAAGGUUUGUAUUUUCAUUUUUCACUCCACAGCGUUGCUCUUUUUCCUUUUUUUUUUUAAACCCCUUUUUUUUGCCGCAGUAAUGUAUUUGGGAACAAUUUAGGAUUCAGUAUUAAUGGGGCAAAAAUCUGAAAUGGCAGAAUCGAGUGUUACCGCCAUUGAGAAGUGUUAUUGUAUCUGUGUCUUCUAAUCGUCAUGGUGAAUUUUAUACAAUAUUUAGCUUUUGUGAUUCUGUCCUAACAGGUUUUUGAAGGUUUAACGGGAAAUCGCUUUCUUUCUUUAUGUCUUCAGGGAUAUCUAUAGAUUAUAUCCUGCAAUAGUCGCCAUCAAACUGCUCAAAGCACUGUUUUGACUUCAUACACUUAAUGAAAGGUUGAAACUCACAUAAUAUAACUCCGCUGACACAGGUUUACACUGGAACCCAUGCUGGGCGGUGGUCCUAAAAAAGGAUGCUAUCGCUUUAAGAGGUCCAUGUCCUCUCUCAAACCACGGUUGAUCAAUUUUUGCCGGCUCCACUGGUAAACACAAGUAAGGAAGAUUUUUUUCAUUUGUCAGCUAUUGUGUUUCCGAACUUGUAUUCACAUGUACAUGAAUCUGUCUCUGCCCUUUGUGGGGUUGUGGAGUACAUUGUUUACAUUUUGUGAAUUCCUAACGCUCACUUAAUAUGACCGUUUUCGGAACUUAUCAAGACUUGGAAAAGCGAGGACUAAUGCAGGGGCAUCCGUCUUUCUUCUGAAAUCCACCAAAACAGAUGAAAACCAGACUGGACUGUUUUAAGCAGCUUUGUAGGCCUACAGAGCUCCUCCGCUACCCGGGGAGCCUGGUCUCCAGCAGCUAUGCCCCAUUCAUCACCUGCUUUCAAUGGCCAGUACCAAGCAGCCUCAAGCUCAAGGGCCAGGUAGGGUGCCUGGUGGUGCACAAUGUUUGGGGGAUUAACAAUCAAAGGAGCGCGGAGGCUAGGGCCCUCCGUCCCAGAGUGCCAUUCACUCCUAGCAGGGGAGGAGAACUCCAGCAGUGGCCAAGGUCAGCAUCUCCAACUCGGCAGGAGGUAACUGGGAAAGAACCCUGGGAACCAGCCGCCUGUGCUGUGCUUAUCACCGGCUAGCAGGCUAGCAGCACAGCAGGAGUCUUAUCUGCCAAACAUUCAGCUGUUUGUGCAUCUGAUAGCAUGGCUGACAACAAGAUAAUACUUUCUUUGCUUUAAUUCUCUCGCACUUUCUCCCUCUGUCCUCUUUUAUUUCCAUCUUAUAGUGUUGUUGUUUGCCCUUUUCCAGUGAGGUUUGGUUGUCUUGCUAUUAGUUCUUAAGCUUCAUGUUGAGUUAGCAACUGCUGGUUAAAAAAUCUUUUAGUCAAAAAUGAACUGCUGUGCAUGGUCAGAUGUAGGAAAUAUAUGGUUCUGUACAUCGGAGAGACUUCUAAUGAUAGAGAGUUUCUUGUCUCUGAAAAGUUUCAUGGCUUUACUUGGUUGCUAUGGUUUCAACCAACCAUCCCAAACUGUA
rnacentral:lncRNA from 1 species